CUGGUGUUAAUUUAUUUAAAAGCUAUUAAGACAAGGAAAUGAAGCUCCUCCUAGCUGAGAGGGGGUCUGAGUAGGAUACCCAGGCUUGCUCUUUGUCUGGAGGUUAUUAAGGGGUUUCAAAGGGAGCUUGUGCUAUUGUGUAAGCAAUAUAAUCUCUACCCUAAAGAAGACUACAUAUUUUUAACAUCCAGUCUGUGCAGUGAUCACGAAGUGUCCAUCCAGGGCCUGUUUGCCCUUGAGCCAACACCCCACCUGAUCAUGGUCUGAGGAGGUCCCAGACAGCUGAAGAACACCUGGCAGAUAUUUUGUAAGGUUCCUAGAGGGCUGUGACUCAGCAGACUUCAUUUUCUGCUUUUUGACUCCAUUUUAGGGCUGCUGUUUUUCUUUUCCCCCCACUAUGUAGUUUAGGCUGGCCUCAAACUCAGUGAUCUUCCUGCCUCAGCCUCCUGAGGGCUGGAAUUACAGACAUUUGCCACCAUGCCCAGCAGGGCCACUGUCCUUACUGCCAAAUAGAACCUUAACUCUUGCCUCACUAAGUUUUGUAACAAUUUGAUGGCAUCAUGGGAGGGGUGAUGCCAUCCUAGAAGGUGGGCCAUGGUUGAAGGAAUGGGAUGGUGGGUGGUCCUGGUGACUAUUUCUUGUACCCAACCCCUUCUUCACCGGCUCUUCCCCUUUCUCUCUCUUCUUCCUAGCUGUCAUGAAGUGAGCAACUUUCUUCUGCCACACCCUCCCACCUUGAUGUUUCUGCCUCACACAGAUCUAAAGAGAUGGAACUAGCCAACCAUGGACUGACACCUAUGAAACCAUGAACCACAUAAGCUUUUCUUCCUUUAAGCAGAUUGUCAUGGUUAUUUUGUCUCAGUGACAAAAAGCUGGUCAACACACCUAAUUCCAUCAAAAGUUAUAGGUCAAAGAGGAAGGGCAUCACAUCGGCACUUUCUGAAAGCUGUCUCGGAAACAGAGAUUGUGACGGAUUGUAUUCUUCCAGCCUUCUUGGAGCUGUCCCGAAGAAAGGGGAGUGCUGUGAAUCUGCUCGGUCAUGAGCAGGUGCGACUUGGUGAAGGAGAGAAAGCACUUGUUCCCCAUGUCCCAGGCCAGGAGCCCGGGGACCUCGCCAUGGAGGCUGGCCCAGAAGUCAGAGUCACGGAGCUUUGUGGCCACCGUGGGCGAAGGAGUGGAGCGCAGGUGGGGAGCUCGGCCCCACGCCCACGCCGCUUCUUAAGUAGUCGGCGGUCCAGGUGCAGGCCAAGCAAGCGGCGCAGAUGCCCGAGCUCGCCACUGCCCCGAGGGCUCUCUGUGCCCUGGUCCUCGGAACUCAAAGUUUGAGGAUCCAGGAGGACGCACAAUAUGUAUCUCACACCUUUUCUCCCCUGGCGCCGCACAAACCUCUCAGAAGGAUCCUGCAGCAGGGCUAAUAGCGGCUUCCUGAAAGUUCUAAUAGGUUUUAUGGUUUAUCUAAGAUCGCAUCUAUAGUAGGCGGUGGAGCUAGCCUAAGAGUCUAGUUUUUAAGUGUUCUGACCAUGAAUAAAUUAUAAAUAUGUGAGCUAAAACAUUUGUUAGAUUUAGCCAUUGCACAACACGUCUGGCCUGGAUUUUGCAGUGAUCCUUUUGCGUCAGCUUCCUAAGUGCUGAGAUAACAGGUGUGUGCCACCAUGCCUGGUUUUGUUUAUGUAUUUUACACUUGAUCUUAGCCAAAAGGCCGAGAAGCGAUUGUUGUUUAUGUAUUUUAAAACAUCGUGUUUUUACCAUAAAUACUUUGGGUUUCUCAUAUAAGAGAAACAUAUUUAAGCAUUUGUGUCUGAUUUAUUUUACUUAACAUUAUGGUCUGUAGGUAUAUCCAUUUUCCUACAAAUGACUCAAAUUUAUCCUUCUUUAUAGCAGAGUAGUACUCCUUAGUAUGUAAAUACCACAUUUUCUUUUAAAUGUUAAUGGACAUAUAAGAUGCUUCAAAUAUUCAGCUAUUAUGAAUUGUGUGUGUAUAUAUAUGUAAUUUUUUGCAAUUAAAAUAAACAAGUAAAGAAAUAAAGGACAUUGAGAAGUUGAAAGUAAAUGGAGCCAGGUGUGGUAGUGCAUAUCUAUAAUCCCAGCACUUGGGAGGCUGAGGCAGGAGGAUCUCCAUGAGUGUGAGGCCAGCCUGGGCUACACAGUGAGUUCAAAACCAGCCUGGACUACACAGUGAGACCCUGUCUCAAAAAAAAAAAAAAAUUGAUCUGCUGAUUACCUCCCUUGUGUACAAAUUAAGUAGCAUGCUAAUAAUUCUUUUAAUUCUUUGAUUUUUCUUUAACAAUCUUAUUAUCUCAAAGUUAUUUCAUUAACAUUCUAGGAAAUAAACAGUCUUUCUUUGGUGUCUGCUUUUUGUUA
rnacentral:lncRNA from 1 species